ACUAAUAAUCUCACGCUUUGAUGUAAUAAUCACCUAGAUAAAGGAAAUGAUGGAAAAUUGCUUAGAUGAUUCAUUUUCAUUGACUGACAAGACAUAGUUAUAAGGGUAAACGACCUGUGUCCCCAUGAAAAGUUUUAUAUACGCUCAUAACUCUACAGAUUUCGGACCUCGUCCCCAGUCCACAUGAAACUAAAGUUAAAAACCACGUUCCCCCUA
rnacentral:sRNA from 1 species